rnacentral:rRNA from 1 species
GCUGGCGGCGUGCCUAAUACAUGCAAGUCGAGCGAACGGACGAGAAGCUUGCUUCUCUGAUGUUAGCGGCGGACGGGUGAGUAACACGUGGAUAACCUACCUAUAAGACUGGGAUAACUUCGGGAAACCGGAGCUAAUACCGGAUAAUAUUUUGAACCGCAUGGUUCAAAAGUGAAAGACGGUCUUGCUGUCACUUAUAGAUGGAUCCGCGCUGCAUUAGCUAGUUGGUAAGGUAACGGCUUACCAAGGCAACGAUGCAUAGCCGACCUGAGAGGGUGAUCGGCCACACUGGAACUGAGACACGGUCCAGACUCCUACGGGAGGCAGCAGUAGGGAAUCUUCCGCAAUGGGCGAAAGCCUGACGGAGCAACGCCGCGUGAGUGAUGAAGGUCUUCGGAUCGUAAAACUCUGUUAUUAGGGAAGAACAUAUGUGUAAGUAACUGUGCACAUCUUGACGGUACCUAAUCAGAAAGCCACGGCUAACUACGUGCCAGCAGCCGCGGUAAUACGUAGGUGGCAAGCGUUAUCCGGAAUUAUUGGGCGUAAAGCGCGCGUAGGCGGUUUUUUAAGUCUGAUGUGAAAGCCCACGGCUCAACCGUGGAGGGUCAUUGGAAACUGGAAAACUUGAGUGCAGAAGAGGAAAGUGGAAUUCCAUGUGUAGCGGUGAAAUGCGCAGAGAUAUGGAGGAACACCAGUGGCGAAGGCGACUUUCUGGUCUGUAACUGACGCUGAUGUGCGAAAGCGUGGGGAUCAAACAGGAUUAGAUACCCUGGUAGUCCACGCCGUAAACGAUGAGUGCUAAGUGUUAGGGGGUUUCCGCCCCUUAGUGCUGCAGCUAACGCAUUAAGCACUCCGCCUGGGGAGUACGACCGCAAGGUUGAAACUCAAAGGAAUUGACGGGGACCCGCACAAGCGGUGGAGCAUGUGGUUUAAUUCGAAGCAACGCGAAGAACCUUACCAAAUCUUGACAUCCUUUGACAACUCUAGAGAUAGAGCCUUCCCCUUCGGGGGACAAAGUGACAGGUGGUGCAUGGUUGUCGUCAGCUCGUGUCGUGAGAUGUUGGGUUAAGUCCCGCAACGAGCGCAACCCUUAAGCUUAGUUGCCAUCAUUAAGUUGGGCACUCUAAGUUGACUGCCGGUGACAAACCGGAGGAAGGUGGGGAUGACGUCAAAUCAUCAUGCCCCUUAUGAUUUGGGCUACACACGUGCUACAAUGGACAAUACAAAGGGCAGCGAAACCGCGAGGUCAAGCAAAUCCCAUAAAGUUGUUCUCAGUUCGGAUUGUAGUCUGCAACUCGACUACAUGAAGCUGGAAUCGCUAGUAAUCGUAGAUCAGCAUGCUACGGUGAAUACGUUCCCGGG